CUGCCAGAAUAUUGAAAUAAAUUUACCAAGGUGUAGAAGUGAGUGGUUUAAAAAAUGAUUUCCAGUCGAAUAAUUUUUAACUAUUCUGUUAAAGCGGAUACCCAAAGCAUGUUGUUAGUUAUUUAAUGUAAUGGUGAAUCUUCGUAGACUAUAACUUAACUUAGGAAAUAUGAAAAUAAACUAAUCAAAGAUACCAGGAUCAAAUUUUGUAUUUACGCCAGACGCGCGUUUCGUCUACAAAAAACUCAUCAGUGACGCUCGAAUCCAAAAGAUUUGAAAGGCCAAAUAAAGUCCGAAGUGGAAGAACAUUGAGGACCAAAAUUCCUAAAAGUUUUGCGAAAUACAUCUUCAAAAGAUCAAUUAGCCUUUUCAUUUCUAUCAGUUGUUCUUUCAUAAUAUUGUGUGUCAUGAUUUAAGUGACAACACACGACAAAAACAUUUUAUGUUGUUACUAUCAAAAUCUUAAAGUCGUGUUUUACCCUGAUAUGUAAAUUAUUUGCUUGUUAUGAUAAAUUUUGAAUAGUCCAAGGAAGUCGGAUUAACAACCAUAAUCUGUCUUGCUCAAGUUAGAUAGAAGACGUGUUUAUUUUUAUUGAAGAUUCUACAGAUGAUGGCCCUAGGUGUUUCAAUCAUUAAAAUAUGAAUUACUUUAUUCCCGCCAAAACAAGUAAGUAAGAGUAAAAAAAUCGAUGAUUAAGACGUAUCUAAAUUUUGUACCUUUAUCAUUUCACUCACAAUUUAAAAAAGGUACUACUCCAAAAAAGCAAGAAAAGUAUAGGUCACCAUUUUUUUUCUCAAAAAGUAAUGAGUAAAUAAACUCAUUAUGGGAUUGAAAUUUUGUUUUUGCGCUAGACACGCGUUUCUUUUACACAAGACUCAUCAGUAACGCUCGAAUAAAUAAAAGUUGAAAAGGCAAAAUUAAUUACGAAGUUAGAGAGAAUUGAGGACCAAAAUUCCUAUAUCUUUUUUCGAUUACGGCUAAGGUAAACGGUGAUACGAAAUAUAUUACACGGUUUAAGGGAAUCGACAGUCUUUAGUUUACUAUGUUGUGUCUGCUGUUCUAUUUUUGUCUGUUUGUUUUUAAUUUUUAGCCAUUGCAUUGUCAGUUUAUUUUCAAUCUAUGGUUUUACUGUCCCUCUGGUAUCUUUCGCCCCUCUUUUGGAACAUGACAGUCUUUCAUUUUUUGAUUUGGGUCAAAAACUUACUGGCCUAGCUUUAACAAACUUAUCACAACGUAUACAAAAUAUAAUGGAAAACAUAUAAUUGUAUAUACAAAAAAUAAUUGAUAAUUUUAUACACAAAAUAUAAUUGAAAAACAUAUAAUUUUACAUACAAAAU
rnacentral:lncRNA from 1 species